AUACAGAGGGUGCAAGCGUUAAUCGGAAUUACUGGGCGUAAAGCGCGCGUAGGUGGUUUGGUCAGUCAGAUGUGAAAGCCCUGGGCUCAACCUGGGAACUGCAUUUGAUACUGCCAAGCUCGCGUAUAGUAGAGGGAAGUGGAAUUCCACAUGUAGCGGUGAAAUGCGUAGAUAUGUGGAGGAACAUCAGUGGCGAAGGCGGCUUCCUGGACUAAUACUGACACUGAGGUGCGAAAGCGUGGGGAGCAAACAGGAUUAGAUACCCUAGUAGUCC
rnacentral:rRNA from 1 species